GCCUCUGUGGUGUAGUUGGUCAUCACGCGAGUCUCAUAUCUAUAUAUGACCUUGAAGGUAACUUCAAGGAGCGAUCUCGAGGUCACCAGUUCGAUCCUGGUCGGAGGCA
rnacentral:tRNA from 1 species